rnacentral:rRNA from 1 species
UACGGAGGGUGCAAGCGUUAUCCGGAUUCACUGGGUUAAAGGGUGCGUAGGUGGAUUAGUAAGUCAGUGGUGAAAUCUCCGGGCUUAACCCGGAAACUGCCAUUGAUACUAUUAGUCUUGAAUACCGUGGAGGUCAGCGGAAUAUGUCAUGUAGCGGUGAAAUGCUUAGAUAUGACAUAGAACACCAAUUGCGAAGGCAGCUGGCUACACGAAUAUUGACACUCAGGCACGAAAGCGUGGGGAUCAAACAGG